rnacentral:rRNA from 1 species
GGACCCGCACAAGUAGUGGAGCAUGUGGUUUAAUUCGAAGAUACGCGCAGAACCUUACCAACACUUGACAUGUUCGUCGCGACUCUAAGAGAUUAGAGUUUUCGGUUCGGCCGGACGAAACACAGGUGCUGCAUGGCUGUCGUCAGCUCGUGUCGUGAGAUGUUGGGUUAAGUCCCGCAACGAGCGCAACCCUCACUUUUAGUUGCCAUCAUUAAGUUGGGCACUCUGAAAGAACUGCCAGUGAUAAGCUGGAGGAAGGUGGGGAUGACGUCAAGUCCUCAUGGCCCUUACGUGUUGGGCUACACACGUGCUACAAUGGCAUCUACAACAGGAAGCAAAACGGCAACGUUAAGCAAAUCCCGAAAAGAUGCCUCAGUUCGGAUUGCACUCUGCAACUCGAGUGCAUGAAGCUGGAAUUACUAGUAAUGGC